rnacentral:rRNA from 1 species
GACGAACGCUGGCGGCGUGCUUAACACAUGCAAGUCGAACGGAAAGGCCCUGCUUUUGUGGGGUGCUCGAGUGGCGAACGGGUGAGUAACACGUGAGUAACCUGCCCUUGACUUUGGGAUAACUUCAGGAAACUGGGGCUAAUACCGGAUAGGAGCUCCUGCUGCAUGGUGGGGGUUGGAAAGUUUCGGCGGUUGGGGAUGGACGCGCGGCUUAUCAGCUUGUUGGUGGGGUAGUGGCUUACCAAGCCUUUGACGGGUAGCCGGCCUGAGAGGGUGACCGGCCACAUUGGGACUGAGGUACGGCCCAGACGCCUACGGGAGGCAGCAGUGGGGAAUAUUGCACAAUGGGCGGAAGCCUGAGGCAGCAACGCCGCGGGCGGGAUGACGGCCUUCGGGUUGUAAACCGCUUUCGCCUGUGACGAAGCGUGAGUGACGGUAAUGGGUAAAGAAGCACCGGCUAACUACGUG